rnacentral:rRNA from 1 species
UACGAAGGGGGCUAGCGUUGUUCGGAAUUAUUGGGCGUAAAGGGCGCGUAGGCGGCAGGAUAAGUCUGACGUGAAAUCCCUCGGCCUAACCGAGGAACUGCGUCUGAAACUGUCCAGCUCGAGUCCGGGAGAGGGUAGUGGAAUUCCCAGUGUAGCGGUGAAAUGCGUAGAUAUUGGGAGGAACACCGGUGGCGAAGGCGGCUACCUGGACCGGUACUGACGCUGAGGCGCGAAAGCCAGGGGAGCAAACAGG